rnacentral:rRNA from 1 species
CGACUUGGAGGUUGUGCCCUUGAGGCGUGGCUUCCGGAGCUAACGCGUUAAGUCGACCGCCUGGGGAGUACGGCCGCAAGGUUAAAACUCAAAUGAAUUGGCGGGGGCCCGCACAAGCGGUGGAGCAUGUGGUUUAAUUCGAUGCAACGCGAAGAACCUUACCUGGUCUUGACAUCCACAGAACUUGGCAGAGAUGCCUUGGUGCCUUCGGGAACUGUGAGACAGGUGCUGCAUGGCUGUCGUCAGCUCGUGUUGUGAAAUGUUGGGUUAAGUCCCGCAACGAGCGCAACCCUUAUCCUUUGUCGCCAGCGGUUAGGCCGGGAACUCAAAGGAGACUGCCAGUGAUAAACUGGAGGAAGGUGGGGAUGACGUCAAGUCAUCAUGGCCCUUACGACCAGGGCUACACACGUGCUACAAUGGCGCAUACAAAGAGUAGCAAUCUCGCGAGAGCCAGCGGACCUCAUAAAGUGCGUCGUAGUCCGGAUUGGAGUCUGCAACUCGACUCCAUGAAGUCGGAAUCGCUAGUAAUCGUGAAUCAGAAUGUCACGGUGAAUACGUUCCCGGGCCUUGUACACACCGCCCGUCACACCAUGGGAGUGGGUUGCAAAAGAAGUAGGUAGCUUAACCUUCGGGAGGGCGCUUACCACUUUGUGAUUCAUGACUGGGGUGAAGUC